CUUGUUUCUUAUCUCUAUCCGCGUGGUUUCCCCCCACAGCUAACACUUGAAGGAACUUUAUAUCACUCUUCUCUCUCUCUCUCUCUCACACACACACACACAUAUAUAUAUAUAUGCAUAUAUAGCUCUUCUUUAGUUGUAGUGUUCAUAUCUCUUACAUAUGAAGAUUCGUGUUGGUUUGAGAGGCUGAAGCUGCCAGCAUGAUCUGCUUCAUUCACUCAAUUACCAACAAAGGCAAAGACAAAGAAAAACAAGACAAUACUUACGAGGUAAUCAAUGACAUUGUCGCGUUGACUUUUAUUGCGAAGGUAACGAUUUUCCUCUUGUUUUUUUUUUUUGGUUGAAUGUAUGGUGUUCUUAGUUUUUCUUCAUAAUCACAUGCACAUAUAAAAUAGAUAGUUUCGUGUUUAUAUUCAUACCUCGUUUACGUGUAUAUAUAUAUAUAUAUAUAUAUGAUAUGCACUUAUAUAUAUUGACAUAUGUAUAGAGAAACUAUGUACAAAUGCCCAUGUCUUGUGUGGCACGUGCGACAUAUAUGCUUGCAUGUGCAUUUGCGUUUCUUUUCAUAAAUAUACACAGUUGACAUAGGAAAGAUUUGGGACGAAGAGAUGCAACACAAAACUGAAGAAUUUGUAACCCACUGUCUCGACCAGAGUCUCUGCUGCGCUCUUCUCGCUUCUAGACCCUUGGUCUUUUGAAGAGUAUUUGACUCACGCACACAAUUAUCUCCACGUGUGCGUGUUUGUGUAAAAUCAGGAAUAAAUCUAGAAAAAUAAAUUAAUGAAAAUACUAUUUAGUAUUUAUUGUUAUCGUUUGCAUAGAAACAUAUAAGAAUUAAUAUUCUCAGCAUUUUAAUUAAUAAUUAUUCAACAUCCUGUAUUCAAUUACAAUUAUUAAAAUGCCCUAUUUUUA